rnacentral:lncRNA from 1 species
AAAAAAAAGAAAAAAAAUCAAUAUUUCCAAUAAGGUUUAAUUAGUACAUUCUCACUUUAGUACCUUGCGAUUUAAAGUGCAUCACUUUAGUGCUUUAUAAUUUGUUUUUUUCUCGUUCCGUUAUCCUUUUUGUUAAUUUGUCUGUUAAAUCAGUGAUAAAGUUAAAAUCACAUAAUACUAAAGUAAAAAGUUCGUAAAACUUAAAGAGUUAAUGAAGGAACUGACGAAAGAAAAAAAAAUAAAUAAAAUUAUAGAGUGCUAAAAUAAUACACUUAAAU